rnacentral:tRNA from 2 species
UCCGGCAUAGCUCAGUUGGUAGAGCGGGUGACUGUUAAUCACUAGGUCCUUGGUUCGAGUCCAAGUGCCGGAGCUA